GAAUAACACACAUUUUUGUCUUUGUCAUUAACCUUGUGUCUCCCUGUUCCUGUCUCAAACCUGAUUCUUUCUUCUUAUCUCCUUCCUGUGUCCAGCUCCAGACUCCCACCACCACCCAGGACCAACUCCUGCCCCUGAAUCUUCUGAUGGGCCCCACAAGGUACUUGGAGGAAGACUACUGACCUGGGUCAUCUCUAAUUUCCUGCCUUGCCGGCCAUGCAGCCCUGCUGACCACAUCCUCUCUCACGUUACUUACAUACUUCCUCACCAGACACCACCAAGAGUUCUCAGCCCCCAAAACCUGUCACCGAUCCUCACCAGGCUGUCUGCUCUACCCUCUCCCCCCACUCAAGGGCUCCUGUCCCCACCUCCCUGCAACACUGCUCCUAGAACCAUGUCUCUCUACCUGGAGACAGCCAGGCCUGUUCCCUUCUGGGUCUCCAGUGUCCCUUUUUCCCACAGGUGACAGUGCUGGCUACAAUGCUGUCCAGCCGGUGGUGGCCAAGUUCCUGGGGGAGCCUAGGACUGGGCCCCCGAAGCCCUUCUCGGGGAUCCCAGCUCUGUGCCCUCUAUGCCUUUACUUAUACUGGGGCAGAUGGCCGGCAAGUGUCUCUGGCUGAAGGGGACAGGUUUCUACUGCUUCGAAAGACCAACUCUGACUGGUGGUUGGCAAGACGCCUAGAAGCUCCCUCCACCUCUCGACCCAUCUUUGUCCCAGCGGCCUAUAUGACAGAGGAAUCCAUGCCUUCCCAGAGUCCAACUACCGCCAUCCCCAGCCAAUUGCUCUGGACUCCUGGGCCGAAGUUGUUUCAUGGUUCCCUGGAGGAGUUGUCUCAGGCCCUCCCAAGCAGGGCUCAGGCUAGUUUGGAGCAGCCUCCUCCACUUCCCCCCAAAAUGUGUAGGAGCGUCAGCAUUGACAGUCUGAGGCCCUGCCUUCUGAAGCCUUUCCAGGAAGGACCAAGUGGAAGAUGCCUCUCCCGGGAAGACUUGCCGUCAGAAGCCAGUGCCAGCACAGCAGGCCCCCAGCCCCUCAUGUCAGAGCCCCCUGUGUACUGUAACCUGGUGGACCUUCGCCGCUGUCCCCGGUCCCCACCCCCAGGCCCUGCAUGCCCCCCGCUGCAGAGGCUGGAUGCCUGGGAGCAGUACCUGGACCCCAACUCCGGACGCUGCUUCUACAUCAAUUCACUGACUGGCUGCAAGUCCUGGAAGCCCCCGCGCCGCAGUCGCGGCGAGAUGAACCCUGGCUCCAUGGAGGGGACACAGACCCUGAAGAGGAACAAUGAUGUCCUGCAACGUCAGGCAAAAGGCUUCGGAUCUGACACAGGGACCCCAGAACCGCUUGACCCACAGGGUUCACUCAGCCUCAGCCAACGCACCUCGAAGCUUGAUCCUCCAGCCUUGCAGCCCCCUCGACCUCUGCCGCAGCUCCUGGAAGACCCCCAUGAGGUGGAAAAGUCGGGUCUGCUCAACAUGACCAAGAUUGCCCAAGGGGGGCGCAAGCUCAGGAAGAACUGGGGCCCGUCUUGGGUGGUGUUAACGGGUAACAGCCUAGUGUUCUACCGAGAGCCACCGCCGACAGCGCCCUCCUCUGGUUGGGGGCCAGCGGGUAGCCGGCCCGAAAGCAGCGUGGACCUGCGCGGGGCGGCCCUGGCGCACGGCCGCCACCUGUCCAGCCGCCGCAACGUCCUGCACAUCCGCACGGUCCCUGGCCACGAGUUCCUGCUGCAGUCCGACCACGAGACAGAGCUGCGAGCCUGGCACCGCGCGCUGCGGACUGUCAUCGAGCGGCUGGAUCGGGAGAACCCCCUGGAGCUGCGUCUGUCGGGCUCUGGACCCGCGGAGCUGGCGGAGCUGAGCGCCGGGGAGGACGAAGAAGAGGAGUCGGAGCCGGUGUCCAAACCGCUGCUGCGCCUCAGCAGCCGCCGGAGCUCCAUUCGGGGGCCCGAAGGCACCGAGCAGAACCGCGUGCGCAACAAACUAAAGCGGCUCAUCGCAAAGAGACCGCCCUUACAAAGCCUGCAGGAGCGGGGUCUGCUCCGAGACCAGGUGUUCGGCUGCCAAUUGGAAUCACUCUGCCAGCGGGAAGGAGACACGGUGCCCAGCUUUGUGCGGCUCUGCAUUGCUGCUGUGGAUAAAAGAGGUCUGGAUGUGGAUGGCAUUUAUCGGGUGAGCGGGAACUUGGCAGUGGUCCAGAAACUUCGAUUUCUGGUGGACAGAGAGCGUGCAGUCACCUCCGAUGGGAGAAGGUCGGUUAGAUUUGGACAGUACUGAGUGGGAUGACAUUCAUGUGGUCACCGGAGCCCUGAAGCUUUUUCUCCGGGAGCUGCCCCAGCCUCUGGUGCCACCACUGCUGCUGCCCCAUUUCCGCGCUGCCCUUGCACUCUCCGAAUCAGAGCAGUGCCUCUCUCAGAUACAAGAAUUAAUAGGCUCAAUGCCAAAGCCCAACCGUGACACUCUACGGUACCUCCUGGAGCAUUUAUGCAGGGUGAUAGCACACUCAGAUAAGAAUCGCAUGACUCCCCACAACCUGGGAAUUGUGUUUGGACCAACCCUGUUUCGGCCAGAGCAGGAGACAUCUGACCCAGCAGCCCAUGCUCUCUACCCGGGGCAGCUGGUCCAGCUGAUGCUCACCAACUUCACCAGCCUCUUCCCCUGACCCAGGGAAGGAAGAGAAAACCUAUUUCCAGUCAUCUCUGGUGGUGAGAGGCUGGUGUUCUGUUUUGAGGACAUCCCUUUAAAUCUCCCAAAUGACUAUCUCCAUCUUCAUGAGUGUGACUUGAGGGGUUGGGAUGGGUGAGAGAGCUUCUCUAAAGAGGAAAGUGAGUGGAUUAACCCCUGCUUCUCUUCUUAUUCCCUGUUAUCAUUCCUCCCCAACAUAAUAACACAUAAAGUGGCAUGUUUUUGUUUU